AGUCUACAGUGACUGUAGACUUUCAGCCAAUCACGAGGACUGAUUGUCUACAGUCACUGUAGACUUUGCACGACUGUAGACUCGACUCCUGCGAAUUCCCCAAAUGUGGGAAUCUUGACUGCAUAAUUUCUGGUAGUGGGGGGACUGCGUUCGCGCUGUCCCCUG